GACGAACGCUGGCGGCGUGCUUAACACAUGCAAGUCGAACGGAAAGGCCCUGCUUUUGUGGGGUGCUCGAGUGGCGAACGGGUGAGUAACACGUGAGUAACCUGCCCUUGACUUUGGGAUAACUUCAGGAAACUGGGGCUAAUACCGGAUAUGAUCUCCUGCUGCAUGGUGGGGGUUGGAAAGUUUCGGCGGUUGGGGAUGGACUCGCGGCUUAUCAGCUUGUUGGUGGGGUAGUUGCUUACCAAGGCUUUGACGGGUAGCCGGCCUGAGAGGGUGACCGGCGACAUUGGGACUGAGAUACGGACCAGACUGCUACGGGAGGCAGCAGUGGGGAAUAUUGCACAAUGGGCGGAAGCCUGAUGCAGCAACGCCGCGUGCGGGAUGACGGCCUUCGGGUUGUAAACCGCUUUCGCAUGUGACGAAGCGUGAGUGACGGUAAUGGGUAAAGAAGCACCGGCUAACUACGUG
rnacentral:rRNA from 1 species